GAUCAUGGCUCAGGAUGAACGCUAGCGGCAGGCUUAACACAUGCAAGUCGAGGGGCAGCAUAAUGGUAGUAAUACUAUUGAUGGCGACCGGCGGACGGGUGCGUAACGCGUAUGCAACCUACCCUUUACAGGGGGAUAACACUGAGAAAUCGGUACUAAUACCCCAUAAUAUUCUGGGAGGCAUUUCGUGUGUAGACUUGUUGGUAAGGAAGUGGCGAUGCGUGUUAUUAGUC
rnacentral:rRNA from 1 species